rnacentral:rRNA from 1 species
UGGGCAACCUGCCCCUGACACUGGGAUAACCCCGGGAAACCGGAGCUAAUACCGGAUACUCCGGCUGGAUCGCAUGGUCCGGCCGGGAAAGGUCCGCCGGAGAGGGAUGGGCCCGCGGCCUAUCAGCUUGUUGGUGGGGUCAUGGCUCACCAAGGCGACGACGGGUAGCUGGUCUGAGAGGACGACCAGCCACACUGGAACUGAGAUACGGUCCAGACUCCUACGGGAGGCA